UGCGAGCCUUAAACAGAGCAGAGUGCACAAAAACAUUUUAUUGGAUAAACAGUUUUCAUUACAUUAAAUAAACAAUUUGCAUUUCAUUGAAAUAUUUAGAGCUUAAUAACUCAAUCAUACUUUGUACAUUUGGAAAGUAAGCCCACCUGGUUAGGCAAAGCCUGAAGAUCAUAAUCACAUAUAAACCUGUCUUGGGAAAGCAGCGCUAAUCCCCCUGGUCACAAAGCCUACAAGAAAUUCUAUUCUUAAUAGGUCUCGUGAAGCUAAUCUUA
rnacentral:lncRNA from 1 species